rnacentral:rRNA from 1 species
CCUACGGGAGGCAGCAGUGGGGAAUUUUGGACAAUGGGCGCAAGCCUGAUCCAGCCAUGCCGCGUGCGGGAAGAAGGCCUUCGGGUUGUAAACCGCUUUUGUCAGGGAAGAAAAGGUUCUGGCUAAUACCUGGGACUCAUGACGGUACCUGAAGAAUAAGCACCGGCUAACUACGUGCCAGCAGCCGCGGUAAUACGUAGGGUGCAAGCGUUAAUCGGAAUUACUGGGCGUAAAGCGUGCGCAGGCGGUUAUGCAAGACAGAGGUGAAAUCCCCGGGCUCAACCUGGGAACUGCCUUUGUGACUGCAUAGCUAGAGUACGGUAGAGGGGGAUGGAAUUCCGCGUGUAGCAGUGAAAUGCGUAGAUAUGCGGAGGAACACCGAUGGCGAAGGCAAUCCCCUGGACCUGUACUGACGCUCAUGCACGAAAGCGUGGGGAGCAAACAGGAUUAGAUACCCUGGUAGUCCACGCCCUAAACGAUGUCAACUGGUUGUUGGGAGGGUUUCUUCUCAGUAACGUAGCUAACGCGUGAAGUUGACCGCCUGGGGAGUACGGCCGCAGGUUGAAACUCAAGGAAAUUGACGG